rnacentral:rRNA from 1 species
GACGAACGCUGGCGGCGUGCUUAACACAUGCAAGUCGAACGAGAAUCUGUGGAUCGAGGAUUCGUCCAAGUGAAGCAGAGGACAGUGGCGGACGGGUGAGUAACGCGUGAGGAACCUGCCUUUCAGAGGGGGGACAACAGUUGGAAACGACUGCUAAUACCGCAUGAUACAUUUGGGUGGCAUCAUCUGAAUGUCAAAGAUUUAUCGCUGAAAGAUGGCCUCGCGUCUGAUUAGCUGGUUGGUGAGGUAACGGCCCACCAAGGCGACGAUCAGUAGCCGGACUGAGAGGUUGACCGGCCACAUUGGGACUGAGAUACGGCCCAGACUCCUACGGGAGGCAGCAGUGGGGAAUAUUGCACAAUGGGGGAAACCCUGAUGCAGCAACGCCGCGUAGAAGGAUGACGGUUUCGGAUUAGUAAACUUCUUUCUUAGUGACGAAGACAGUGACGGUAGCUGACUAAG